GGUCUUGUGACUAGCACUUCCUUCCUGCCGGGAGUGGCAGUUGGGUCUUGUGACUAGCACUUCCUUCCUGCCGGGAGUGGCAGUUGGGUCUUGUGACUAGCACUUCCUUCCUGCAGGCUUCCUGGUGUUGGAGGAGAGAGGAGCUUGUUCAGCCCAGUCUGGAGUGGCAUGCUCUUCUUGGUUCAGCCCAAAGACACAGGCUUCUGAAGUGGAAAGUAAUUGGUUUCCCCUGAGUGCGGUCUGCUUUAUUGACCACAACAGUAAGAUAUGACUGCAGUAAUAAGAAUGAAGCGAGAAAAUGAUUAGCAGUACUCUCCUGGCCCAUAGCAAGUGUUUUUAUGACACCUUCUCACCUCUUUUCAUCUGUUGAGUGAAAGAAAAGAAGUCCCUUGCAAAACAUGAAAACUUAAUGGCUACAAUUGGCCAGUAUCUUUGGGGAUAAUCCAGGAGCUUGGUUCUGUGAGAUAAAAGGACUCUUCCCACAUCUAGACUUAUGAAACUUCUUGAAAUCUGUUUGAUUCUCUUGUCUUCUCCUGUGGUUCCAGAUGAUGACAUUGAGACAUUUAGGGCUGCCAAACAAAGGUAAGAAUUUACUUUUUCAUAUUCAUGUUACAAAACCAGUAUUGACAAAGAAGUAACAAAUUAGAAAGGAGGAGGCAAUAAAUUUCACUAAGUGAAAAUCUGUGAAUUGCAUUAUCCAGUCAUAUAAUAUUUAAUAUAACCAUUUAGUGGUGGUUUGAAGUUUAAAUUUGAAUUUACUCCUUACUAUUUAUAUGUUUACAUUCUUUUCCUACUGCAUGUUUUGAGCUGAAAAAAUACAACCUAUUAGAAAUAAUAUUCAACCUAACAAUCUCUCUCACUCUCUCUCUCUCUCUCUCUCUCU